AACGAACGCUGGCGGCAUGCCUAACACUUGCAAGUCGAACGAGACCUUCGGGUCUAGUGGCGCACGGGUGCGUAACGCGUGGGAACCUGCCCUUAGGUUCGGAAUAACUCCCCGAAAGGGGUGCUAAUACCGGAUAAUGUCUUCGGACCAAAGAUUUAUCGCCUUUGGAUGGGCCCGCGUUGGAUUAGCUAGUUGGUAGGGUAAAAGCCUACCAAGGCGACGAUCCAUAGCUGGUCUGAGAGGUUGAUCAGCCACACUGGGACUGAGACACGGCCCAGACUCCUACGGGAGGCAGCAGUGGGGAAUAUUGGACAAUGGGCGAAAGCCUGAUCCAGCAAUGCCGCGUGAGUGAUGAAGGCCUUAGGGUUGUAAAGCUCUUUUACCCGGGAUGAUAAUGACAGUACCGGGAGAAUAAGCUCCGGCUAACUCCGUG
rnacentral:rRNA from 1 species